CGUUAGCGGCGGACGGGUGAGUAACACGUGGGUAACCUACCUAUAAGACUGGGAUAACUUCGGGAAACCGGAGCUAAUACCGGAUAAUAUUUCGAACCGCAUGGUUCGAUAGUGAAAGAUGGUUUUGCUAUCACUUAUAGAUGGACCUGCGCCGUAUUAGCUAGUUGGUAAGGUAACGGCUUACCAAGGNGACGAUACGUAGCCGACCUGAGAGGGUGAUCGGCCACACUGGAACUGAGACACGGUCCAGACUCCUACGGGAGGCAGCAGCC
rnacentral:rRNA from 1 species